rnacentral:tRNA from 2 species
CGAAAUUGGUAGACGCUACGGACUUAAAAUCCGUCGACUUUAAAAAUCGUGAGGGUUCAAGUCCCUCUAUCCCCA